GAUGAAGAACGUAGCGAAAUGCGAUACUUGGUGUGAAUUGCAGAAUCCCGUGAACCAUCGAGUCUUUGAACGCAAGUUGCGCCCGAAGCCACUAGGCCGAGGGCACGCCUGCCUGGGCGUCACACGUCGUUGCCCCCCCCCCAUCUACUCCUUCGGGAUUGCGGGGGGCGGAUGAUGGCCUCCCGUGCGCCUAGCCGCGCGGUUGGCACAAAUACCAAGUCCUCGGCGACGCACGCCACGACAAUCGGUGGUUGCGAAACCUCGGUUGCCCGUCGUGUGCGUUCGUCGCGCAUCGAGGGCUCGAAAAAAUGCUCGGCUCCGGCUCGGCUUUCAACGCGACCCCAGGUCAGGCGGGGUUACCCGCUGAAUUUAAGCAUAUCAAUAAGCGGAGGA
rnacentral:misc_RNA from 1 species